rnacentral:rRNA from 1 species
AACGUAGGAGACAAACGUUAUCCGGAGUUACUGGGCGUAAAGCGCGUGUAGGUGGAUUGGUGUGUCAGAUGUGAAAUCCCUGGGCUCAACCCAGGAACUGCACCUGAAACUACCAGUCUUGAGUGGUGGAGAGGGAAGUGGAAUUCCUGGUGUAGAGGUGAAAUUCGUAGAUAUCAGGAGGAACACCAGUGGCGAAGGCGGCUUCCUGGACACCAACUGACGCUGAGACGCGAAAGCGUGGGGAGCAAACAGG